GAUGAACGCUGGCGGCGUGCCUAAUACAUGCAAGUCGAGCGAACGGACGAGAAGCUUGCUUCUCUGAUGUUAGCGGCGGACGGGUGAGUAACACGUGGAUAACCUACCUAUAAGACGGGGAUAACUUCGAGAAACCGGAGCUAAUACCGGAUAAUAUUUUGAACCGCAUGGUUCAAAAGUGAAAGACGGUCUUGCUGUCACUUAUAGAUGCAUCCGCGCUGGAUUAGCUAGUUGGUAAGGUAACGGCUUACCAAGGCAACGAUGCAUAGCCGACCGGAGAGGGUGAUCGCCCACACUGGAGCUGGGACACGGUCCAGACUCCUACGAGAGGCAGCAGUCGGGAAUCUUCCGCAAUGGGCGAAAGCCUGACGGAGCAACGCCGCGUGAGUGAUGAAGGUCUUCGGAUCGUAAAACUCUGUUAUUAGGGAAGAACAUAUGUGUAAGUAACUGUGCACAUCUUGACGGUACCUAAUCAGAAAGCCACGGCUAACUACGUG
rnacentral:rRNA from 1 species